GGCGGGGUAGCUCAGUCUGGCAGAGCAGUCGGCUCAUACCCGGCGUGUCGACAGUUCAAAUCUGUCCCCCGCUACCA
rnacentral:tRNA from 1 species